UGGUUCUGGCAUCGAUGAAGAACGCAGCGAAAUGCGAUAAGUAAUGUGAAUUGCAGAAUUCAGUGAAUCAUCGAAUCUUUGAACGCACAUUGCGCCCGCUAGCACUCUAGCGGGCAUGCCUGUUCGAGCGUCAUUUCAACCCUCGAGCCCCCUGUGGGCUCGGUGCUGGGGGACGGCGCAGGGCUUGCCUCCGGGCGCCCGCCGCCCCCGAAAUCUAUUGGCGGUCUCGCUGCAGCCUCCUCUGCGUAGUAGAAACACCUCGCUCUGGAACGCGGCGCGGCCAUGCCGUAAAACACCCCACUUCUGAAAGGUUGACCUCGGAUCAGGUAGGAAUACCCGCUGA
rnacentral:misc_RNA from 1 species